UACAGAGGGUGCGAGCGUUGUCCGGAAUCACUGGGCGUAAAGGGCGCGUAGGUGGCGACCCAAGUCCAUGGUGAAAGCUCGUCGCUCAACGACGAGUCGGCCACGGAUACUGGGUUGCUUGAGCACUGUAGAGGCUAAUGGAAUUCCGGGUGUAGCGGUGGAAUGCGUAGAGAUCCGGAAGAACACCGGUGGCGAAGGCGGUUAGCUGGGCAGUUGCUGACACUGAGGCGCGACAGCGUGGGGAGCAAACAGG
rnacentral:rRNA from 1 species